AUGAGAGGAGAGCUGAAUGGGUUGCAGUCUCUUUUUCUCAAGGUAUGCCCAUAUGCAUACUAUGUUCAUUGUUAUGCUCACAGAUUGCAGCUAGCACUAGUAGAUGCAUCCAAAGAGGUGGUUCCUGUUGCCCAGUUUUUUCAGAAGUUGAUCUUCAUUAUUAACACAGUCGACUCCUCAUCAAAACGCCAUGAUGAGCUCCAUGAUGCCCAAUUGGUAGAACUAGCACGUAUGAUAGAAAAUGGAAGCAUUCAGACUGGUCAAGGGGCAAAUCAGACUCGAUCACUUAAAAGACCCGGGGACACUAGGUGGGGUUCUCACUUUGGUUCUAUUCAUAGCCUUAUGAAGUUGUUUAAUGCGGUAAAUUUUGUUAUCCAAGAUAUGGCUUCAGAUGGAUCAGUAGUGGGAUCAAUACGUGCUGACACUUCUUUCAGCUAUUUGUCCUCAUUCGAGUUUGUCUUUAUCUUAUGUAUGAUGAAGGAGAUAUUAGGGAUAACUGAAGGACUUGGUCAGGCUUUACAAAAGAGGUCACAAGACAUUGUAAAUGUUGUUCGUCUAGUGUUUGCAACAAAAGAGUGUCUUCGUCAGUUGAGAUCGGACAAUGGCUGGGAGGAAUUCUUUUGCAUAGUUGUUGAAUUUUGUGUGAAUCAUGACACUAAAAUUCCAGACAUGAAGGAAACUUGUAUCAUGCGUGGUGGCCGUGCACGGCAUCAGCCUGAUCAUUUCACUAAGGAGCAAUAUUUCCGAGUCGAGAUAUUCCGUGCAACUCUUGACAGCCAACUACAUGAAUUGGAUCGCAGGUUCAAUGAGAAGAUGAUGGAUCUUCUGUCCACCAGUGCCACAUUAAUUCCUAGAAAUAAAUUUAAAUCUUUUAAAGGUAGUGAUAUAUGUGAGUUGGUGAAGAAGUAUUACCCAGCAGAUUUUAGUCAACAAGACGUGUAUGGCUUGGAAAACCAACUAAAACUCUUUGUUCCUGAUGCUUCCAGUGAUGUAGAGUUGAAAAAUAUAUCAAUAUUGACUGACCUUUGCCAACUCCUUGUUGAGACUGGAAGAGAUAGAAUCUACCAUCUAAUUGACAGGCUACUUCGUCUACUUGUUACUUUUCCAGUUUCUAUAGCUAGUGCUGAACGAGCAUUUUCCAGUUUGAAGAUCAUCAAAACAAGGCUGCGUAAUACAAUGAAAGAUGAGAAUCUUGCCAAUAACUUGGUUGUUCACAUAGAGCGUGAAAUCGCAGAGAAAUACACGUUUGAGGACAUUUUAGCAGAAUUCAAAAGCAUAAGUGAUCGAAAAGCUGAUCUGUAG
rnacentral:rRNA from 1 species